rnacentral:ncRNA from 3 species
UGUUGGGUUAAGUCCCGCAACGAG